GCCCCCGUAGCUCAGGGGAUAGAGCACCAGUUUCCUAAACUGGGUGUCGCAGGUUCAAUUCCUGCCGGGGGCG
rnacentral:tRNA from 1 species